GACGAACGCUGGCGGCGUGCUUAACACAUGCAAGUCGAACGGAAAGGCCCUGCUUGCUUGGUACUCCAGUGGCGAACGGGCGAGCGAGACAUGGGUGAUCUGCCCUCCACUCUUUGAUAAGCCUGGAAAACUGGGUAUAUUACCCGAUAGCAGCCAUGCUUAGUCUGAUGGUUGGAAAGUUUGUUUGGUGUUGGAGGAGCUCACGGCCGAUCGGCUGGUUGGUUGGGUGGUGGGCUACCAAGGCGGCGACGGGUAGCCGGCCUGGGAGGGUGGACGGCCACACUGGGCAUGCGGUGACGGCCAGGAUCCUACGGGAGGCAACAGUGGGGAAUAAUGGCCAAAGGGCGCCAAGCUGGUGGAGGGACGCCGGGUGGGGGAUGACGGCCCUGCGGUUGUAAACUCGUUUCGGGAGGGACGGAGCCUUUUGUGACGGUACCGAGAGAAGAAGCACCGGCUAACUACGUG
rnacentral:rRNA from 1 species